rnacentral:lncRNA from 1 species
AAGAACAACACCUGUUUAUCUUCUCCUCCAUGUUCACCACCACCAAUCAAUCUUUAUAUAUAUAUCAUGAGUUGCAGAACCUUUUACCAUUAACUUUUUCUCACCAUGGAUUCUGAAAUACUCCUUAUCUUUUCCUUUCUCCUCUGCAUCAUUGUGGCACUCAAACUAGGGAGAAACCUCAACAAAAAAAGCAAGCCAUCAUCACUAAACAUACCCCCUGCACCAUGGAAGCUUCCUGUUAUAGGAAACCUGCACCAUCUUGUUUCAUCCACACCACACCGAAAACUAAGAGACUUAGCCAAAAUAUACGGACCCAUGAUGCAUCUCCAGCUAGGAGAGAUCUUCAUUAUCGUUGUUUCCUCAGCAGAGUACGCCAAAGAGAUCAUGAAAACACAUGAUGCAACCUUUGCAUCGAGACCUCAACUUCUGGCAGCAGAUAUAGCUACUUAUGGAUACACAAACAUUGCUUUUGCACCUUACGGAAGUUACUGGAAAAAGGUACGAAAAAUCUGUUCUGUCCCCAAAACGUGUCAGUUCAUUCCAACCGAUCAGAGAAGAAGAACUCAACAAUCUGGUUCAAAUUGUUAGUUCACAUGUUGGAGGGUCCCCCAUCAACCUCACUGAAGCAGUGUCCUCAUCAAUGUAUAACAUCAUUUCAAGGGCUGCUCUGGGGCAGAAGCGCACCAAAGACCACAAUGAGUUCUUCUGGCUCCAGGAGUGAAAUCAGUUGUGAAAGAAACCCUAAGGUUACACCCACCAGGAGUUCUUCUGGCUCCAAGAGAAUAUGCAGAGACAUGUGAGAUUGAUGGGUAUGAGAUACCAGUGAAAAGUAAGAUAUUGAUAAAUGCCUGAGCAAUUGGGAGAGACCCAAAGUACUGGAAUGAAGCAGAGAGGUUUUAUCCAGAGAGAUUCAUUGGCAGUUCCAUUGAUCUUAAAGGGAAUCAUUUUGAGUUCAUUCCCUUUGGUGCUGGAAGAAGAAUCUGUCCUGGCAUUUCCUUUGGCUUGCUAAAUGUUGAACUCACUCUUGCUGUUUUGUUGUUUCACUUUGAUUGGAACCUUCCUGAAGGAAUCAAAAGUGAAGACUUUGACAUGACUGAGAAAUUUGGAAUCACUGUUGGAUUAAAGAAUGACAUAUUCUUGAUACCUCUCACUGCUGGUAAGAUAUAUUUCUUUGCUAAAUCAUAUUAUCUCAUAACCAUCAUAGUCUCACUCUUAACUAAUUAAAGGUAACGUAUAUUAUCUAAUCAAGUUAAACAUUAUAAGAAAACAUUAUCUAAUGUCACUGUUGAUGUUUUUAAAGGGAAGUGAUGCAAAGAGAGUAAGGAAGUUAGCAGUGGAAGCAAAGAAGGGUGAGUGAGGAAGAAGAUUUCCACACAUAUUUGUUGAAAAGUGAAUAUGCAUCAGUGUUUCAGUUCUUCAAUAAUGAAUAAUUGGUCAGCAGAUCAAGUCUUUAAGAACUCUUACUGUAAUAUUUUUAUGUUAUGUUUGUUUUCUCAAGUAUUGAACUGUGAGUGUCCUUUCUUUUUCUCAGCAUGCUUCAUCUAAAGAACAUUAAUAAAUGUGUUAUUGCAGUUAUAAUUUUCACCUUUAUGUUUCUCUGUCUUUUAUGCAUGGCUUAUUUAGUCACUCCCAUAACGGACCCAUAACUACCAGAUUACAAAGUUUGUUUAAUUCUUGUUUUUUUAAUUAUUAUUAUAAUUAUCAUUUUUUAAAAUUUUGUUAUACUAUUUACACCUUUUUUAUUUAAUUCUUUUUUUUAUAUAAAAGUGAGUCGAUACAUAAAUUUUAUUUGGCAAAUUGAUAAUAAAAGUGUUUCAAUAACGUGAAAGAAUAGGUAAGUUCGAUGUGAAAGAAUAUGCAAGUUCUAGAAGUUGUUUGCAAGCCUUAAAUGGUUUCCAAACCGUAUUAAAGACUUGAGAAUUAUUAAAAAGCUUUUAAAAAACCAGAAAACAUAAAACAAAGAGAAGGUUGGUUUUUUGUAGUGGUAAUUACGUCUAUAUCUCUUUUCACCACUCUUAAAAGAUUUCAAUAUUUUUAAAAAGAUACAACAAAUUUUACUGUUUCUAUUUUACAACGAAUAUAAUCACUUUCAGUAUAAAAUAAAUUGACUAUGUUUAACUUCUGUGAAUUAAACAAUUAAAUAUUUUAAAUUACUUCUAAUUAUUCAAAAAUAACAUUGUUUUUUUUAUUAAGUUAAACAACUAAAUAUUUUAAACUAUAUUUGAUUAUAAAAAAUAAUAGUGUUUUUAAAACAAGUAUAGACUCAGAAGAUCUUUUAGAGAAUUUAAAUCAAUACAAAAUUCAUCUAAAAACUUGUUAUUAAUAAUUUUUUUUUAAAGAGCUAAACUACACAAGAAUAGAAGGAUAUUGACAACUUAAUAAUAUGUACAACUAUUACUCUUGAUUCUUCUCGUGAUCUUCUUUAUAUAAAAAUUUUUAAGAAAGAUUUGAUACUCAAAAACAUUAAUUUUAGGUGUGUAGGUUGGUCUUAGUCUAAAAGAGGAAAUGUGCUUGUAUGCUCAGGUCACACAGACACACACAUAUAUAUAUAUAUAUAUAUAUNNNNNNNNNNNNNNNNNNNNGUUCAAAUUAUCGGUUCACAUGUUGGAGGGUCCCCCAUCAACCUCACUGAGGCAGUGUCCUUAUCAAUGUAUAACAUCAUUUCAAGAGCUGCUCUCGGGCAGAAGCGCACCAAAGACCACGAUGAGUUCAUGUCUAUAGUCCAACGAGGAGUGCUUGGUGCAGGAGGUUUUGACAUAGGAGAGUUGUUUCCUUCUGCUACUUGGCUUCAACAUCUCACGGGUUUGAGGCCUAUGCUUGAGAAGGUGCAUCAACAAAUCGAUCGGAUACUGGAAGCCAUCAUCAAUGAACACAGAGAAGCAAGAUCCAAAGCCCAACAUGAUAAUGAAUCAGUCGAAGAUUUGGUAGAUGUUCUCCUAAACUUCCAUGAUGCUAACGACUUAACCAUUAACAAUAUCAAAGCAGUAAUCAUGGUAAGGAUUCCAUCUACUUCUAAAUUCUUUGGAAAAUUUAUAAACAUGAGGUAAAAUAAAAGUUCUAAAUUGAGUCAAGAGGAGUUCUAAAUUGAAGUCGUCAUGUGGACAACUUUUUCAUAAAAUUCUGAAAAAAUUGAUAAUUUUUUUAUAAACAUGUUGAAGGAAAAUGGUUAAGAAUGGUGAUGAUAUAUAAGAAACCCAUAACACAAACAAAGUUUUCUGAUACGAAAGAGAGAUAUUCAAGAAAUAAGGUUUUUUAGAAUAAACUGACGUCAAGUUUCACUUAAAAGGAUUGAAACUUGAAUUUAAUAAAAAAUUAAUUAAAAAAUAACAAUAACUAUGCGGUUUCAUGAAAUUUAUAUAUAUCAUGAUAUUAUUAUUUUAUUGAUUUACUUAAAUUUAUUUUUUAAAAAAAUAUUUAAAACAAAUGAAUCAUAAAUUAUUAUUAUUAAAAAAUUAUUAAAAAAACAUUUUCCAUUUAUAUAUUAUUGUGUAUCUGAACCAAAUUUUUAAAUUUUGAAACCUUGAGUACAGUGUGAUGGAUAAUUAUAAACUGAUAUGAAAUUUAUGUAUUUAUAAAAAAAAAAAAAAAGGUCAUAUUUCAAUGCAUGCAUGCAUCACUGGUCCAUGUCACAUAGAGCAGUGAUACCUUGCCACCGACAAAUUACGUUGAUUUGACACUGUUGAAUAAUAAUAUUUUGAUUAUAAUUAUAUUAUUUUUUAAUUUAAAAUCAUAAUAUAUAUAUAUAUAUAUAUAUAUAUAUAUAUAUAUAUAUUAUUAAAAGUAGUGUGAAAUGUCUUUUUCAAAAUCAGUAUCAAACUAACUUUUUCAUAUCACCAAGUAAUUAGCACCAGUAUGGCUGAUUGUACAGGGCCAUACUUGGUUUGAAUUGUAGAGAACAUUAGUUUCCAAAAUUUAUUUCAUUCAACAAUAAACACACUGAAAAAUAAAGACUUCGAAAUAGAACUAUUAUAAUAUGCACUGUUUGAUAUUUGAUAUAACAAUCUUAAUAUUUAUUUAGUUAAAUUAAAUAAAAGAGUGUAAAAUUAAACUAAAGUUUUUUUUUUUUUUUUUUUUUACAUUUUUUAUUGUCGUUUAUCUAUAUAUUACCAAUCGGAAGUUAACAUUCUUAUUAUUUUAUAAUAUAAUAAAAAUAACUGAUUUCUUGAAAAAAUACUAAUAAUUUAUUGUAUAUAACAUUUUGAUAAUCGUGUGUGUAUAUAUAUAUAUAUAUAUAUAUAUAUAUAUAUAUAUAUAUAUAUAUAUAUAUAUAUAUAUAUAUAUAUAUAGUACUCUCCAUUACACUCACUUUAUAGAAUUAAAAUAUGAAAUCCUAAAUCCAUAAAGAAGUGUGUCUUGCAUUGCAGGACAUUUUUGUAGCUGGAGUAGAGCCUGUGACAACUACCAUAAACUGGGCAAUGGCAGAGAUGAUGAGGAAUCCAAGAGUGAUGAAGAAAGCACAAGAUGAGGUGAGAGAGGUGUUCAAAGAAAAGGGAAGGGUUGAUGANNNNNNNNNNNNNNNNNNNNNNNNNNNNNNNNNNNNNNNNNNNNNNNNNNNNNNNNNNNNNNNNNNNNNNNNNNNNNNNNNNNNNNNNNNNNNNNNNNNNNNNNNNNNNNNNNNNNNNNNNNNNNNNNNNNNNNNUAUAUAUAUAUAUAUAUAUAUAUAUAAUUUGACAGUUCAACACACAAACAAAGAUUUUCCUUCAAACACCAAAACUCAUGCAAGAUCAAAGUCAAGAUUUAAUUGGGACUACAAUUAACAUAAAAACACAAAAAUAAAAACAGAUAAUUUCUACGAAUCAAAUGUAGAAAUACACAAAUUAAAAGAAGACAUAAAAAAAUACAAAAAUUAAAAACUCAAGGGAAUUGCAUUUUGGGUUUUUUAUUUCUAAUAUGACAAAAAAAUAAGAUAAAAGAGGAUAUUCAAACCAGAACCUUGCUUUGAUACCAAAUGAUACGAUCAUGUCCAAAAAAAGUACGAUCUUUUCUGAAUUUGAAUCAUCAAGGGCACAAUAAAAAUAAAUCAGAGAAGAACGUAAAAUAAGACAGAGAUGGAAAUGCCACAAUCUAGUGGAUAAGUCAAGUGAAGAUUCGCCACAAAGAUGUUAAUCUUUCAUAAGAAUUAGAGUUCUAAACAAAGAACAAAGAGAAUCCUCUCUCAAAAAUGUAAAUGCAUAUAUUAUGACUCAAACAAGCUUUUACAUAUGUAUUUAGUGCCCCUAUAUAUAGGUACAAAUGUUUAAGGCACCUAAGAAACCCUAAAAGAAAGCUCAAAGACAUCAGGUCCAAAAUAACUUGAAAAAUUAAAAAUAGAAACAAAUUGUUUGCAAUUAAAAUAAAAAUACAAUUUAUUUAAUUUCCUAAAUUGUUCUUCAAUUGUGCUCAUGAUCUUCAUGUUCUUUAAAUUCUUUUCUUCAUAAAGAUUAUAAGAUUCAAGAUCCAAGGAGACAUGUUUUGAUCUUUGACCUUGUCAUAGAUCCUUUGAAUUGCAAAUGUUCUUCUUCAAGUUCUUCUCAUAUAUGUUUCAGGAGAUAGUUCUCUAUCAACUAGAGUGAUAUGUUCUCAUAUAUCCCUUAAUUAGGAUCACUUUGAAUAAUAUGCAUGUCAUCUACUAUGUUAUUGACUUGCACUUCAAUUGUUCUUGAUAUCGGGGACGACGUGUCUAUUAUACCUAGAGAGUCAUCAUCAUGUGUUCUGAUUGUGCUUCUUCCUUCCAAGACAACUGACCAUUUACGAUUAGAACGAUCAGUAAUAUAAAAUAUUUGUUUUGCAUGAUAUGCCAUAAUAUAUAAAUGGUUCAUCUACAUAACUCACCUUGUUAAGAUCGACCAAUGUAAACUCGAACUCAUCCAUCCUAAGACCUGUAUUGACAUCAAUCCAUUUACAUUUAAAUAUUGUUACUCUAAAUGUGACAGUCAAUUUCCUAGAUGUCUUCUAUCACUCCGAAGUAACUCAUAGAUGCUAUAAUUGGAUUUUUGUCUUUUGAACUAGUAAAAAGCACACACUCGGCUUGAAUGGUAACCCCACUAUUUUGAACUCUACUUUUUUCAUCUUUUUUUUUUUGUGUAGAAACAAAAGUUGUUUAUAUAGUACCCACCAUAUGUCAUGUCAUGAUUGUUAGGUCCUCAAGCUAGCCUCAACAAAGUUUCGGAAGCAUCCCUUUGAGAGUAAACAUUUUUCUUAAACCAAGCUAAGAAUGUUUUGUUAUGUUCAUUAAGUGUCCAUUUUUCAUUCAUUUGUGGGUGUGCUAACUUUAUUUCAUCAAUGUGUUGGGACAUAUAAGGAAUGUGCAUGUUAGGUCAAGUUUUGUGCAUUUAAUAGCAAACAAUCAUUUCAACUUAGGAAUCAUGGGGGUACCACAACACUUUAGUGGGGCGACCUUCUAUUUAUUCAUUAACACUAUUCUCAUCAACCUUCUUAUUAAAUUAAGACAACCCACACAUUGGACACACCUUCAAUGCAACAAAUUUGUUUCUGUAUAAUACACAAUUAUUAGAGCAUGCAUGUAUCUUCUUAUACUCCAAGCCUAUUGGAUAAAGAACUUUUUUUUCCUUGUAGUUACCAUUAGGUAAUGUGUUUUUUUUUAAGCAUCUAGCUCAAUAAUUUCAACCAUUCUGUGAAACUUUUAUCAAUCCAUCAAUUUCUUGUUUUCAAACUAAACUAUUUCAAAGUUGCAGAUAAUCGUGUAAAGGUAGUGCGUCCUAGGUACAAUUAAUCGGACUUCAAAGAAUCAUAUAGAUGAUCUCUUCCAAAAUUUUCUUCACCAACAUCACGUAUUAUAUCCUCUAAAUGAUUGUUCAUCCAUUCUUAAACAUAUUAUGUUGUUUGUGACGUACUAGGGUUGUCUAAUACUUCUCCAUGCCAAGUCCAAAUCGUAUAAUUUUUCACUAUGUUGUAGACGAAUAAGUGAUCACGUAUUUCGUUCAAAUUUUGACGUAUUUGGUUCAAACAACGAACACAAGAACAAUAGUAUGUCCCAUACACAGCUCUCACAUGUUCUUGAGCAUAUUGCAAGAAUAUAACAACCCCUUUUCAUAGUCUUCAUUAAGACGAUGUGCAUUCAUCCAACUUUGAUCCAUAACUAUAUUGGUAACAAACUCCAUUAUUAUCAUAUUUUAAGUUCUCAAAUGGGUUAAAUAAUUUAAAUUAUCAACGCAUUAUACAUCCAAAAAUAAUUUAAAUAACUGACAAAGCAUAUGAUAAACAAAUAAAUUAUAGAAUAACCAAUACACAAUCAAGUAGAGAAAUUCUCAUUCAAUUCUCAAAGACGAAAAAUUUUAACACUUAAUUUUAGUCCAAUAUAUUUUUCUCUUAUUUUAUUACUUAAGUCACUAUCCUUUAUUUUUUUUUCUUUCUUCAUAUCUCUCGUAUCUCCACUCUAAUUUAAGUGAAUAUUUAUCAUCACUUCAUUUAAUUUAUAGUACUAAUUCAAAAAAAAAAAAAUUAAUUCAAAAACAUACACCAUAUCACCAAAAUGACAAAAACCAAAUUAUCAAAUAACAUUAACCCAAAAUCACCCAAACUAUAUAUAUUAAAAGUGUGAAAAUUAUAUAUUUUUAACAAUAAAUUUUAAUUUAUAAUAUAAAUUUAUUCGAAUGAAUACUUUUAAAAAUACAUGAUAAAAAUAACAACAAUAAGUAAUAGUAAAUAGCUUCUAUUAUUAUGUAUUAGAAAAUAGUGAUUAUAUAUAUAGCCUUGUUUUUUUAAUGUCAAAACUAUGAAAAAAAUUUAAACUUUUAUAGUCAUUGACCCUAUAAUUAUAUAAUUUUAUUAUAUUUGAUGUUGAAAAUUUGAGAAAUAAUAUAUAUAUAUAUAUAUAUAUAUAUAUAUAUGUGGUCUGUUUUACAUGAUCCCUUGUUUAAUGGUAAACAGAGGAAGGUGGGUGAUGUGUUACAGUGCGUUUUGAGAGAAACUAUAUUAAGUAUUUCUUGUGUUUAUAAUAUGUGCUAAAAAUUUGGAUUUUUUAAUCUGAGUAAUUUUAAAAUACUGAUAAACAUUAAUUUUGAUGUUUUAAAAUAUAUUAAAAAAAUUUCAAGAUAUCAACAUUAAUGUUCAAAUAGAAAAUAUACCAAAAUAUCUAAUAAAAAAUCUGAACCCGUGCUAAUCUCUAUCUAAAUUUUCAAGAAAAGUUAAUACUACUCAAUUAUCAUGUGUGAAUGAAGUUCAUUACAAAAUAUAUCAGUAUCAGUAUCAGACCACUUAAUUGUUUCAUCUGUCUUUUAGAGAACAUUCAGAGGUGUAAGAGGAAAAGAUGAUAAACAUUUUGCACUAAGGGAGGACGGUGUGAUGGUGGAAGAGAUCAUCUGGGGUUGUUGUUCUGUUUUUAGUUCAUCAAUGGAGAUGAUAAACCCACAAAAAAAUCAGAGUAUAUAAAUAAUUUAUAUAAAAAGAGAGGAAAAUAUAUUUGACCAAUUAUGAAUAUGUGGGGAACAUGUGCUUACUACAUUGAUGGUAAUAACUCUAUUAACUUUAUAGUCACUCAAAGUUAGGUAAAUCUUGUUGCUUCAGUUUUGAAGACAUUAAGUUCAUGCUUCUUGUGUCUCUACGUAGGUUGUUGAGUAUUGUGGUGUGAAUGUAAGGUGUAGUGUUACUGAUCUUAUUUGAAAGAAGCAAAAUAUCGUUCGAAAGGCAAAGAUUGCUAUGUGAGUAUUGUGUUUAAGAUUGUUUAUUUGGUAAUUAUUUUGAAAACCCUAACAGGUCCAUGAUUGCUAUUAAUAUUUGAGUUCAUUUACUGCUAAUCGUAACACCAAGCAAAAUAAAAUAUUUUCAUCGAAUAUGCAUGAUGGAUAAUAUAUCUACUGAUACAAUAGACUGCAUUAAUUUACAUUUAAGCUAAUAAAGCUUUGACAUGUUUUUUUCACAAAAAUCAGUGUUUUCUAACAUGUUUUUAUGGAAUCUUUGGAUAGGUACAAGCUUUUAUAUAUCGCUGAACUCAAGGAUAGGUAGAGUUGAAGCAAUGCAAUUAUUAAGUAAUGAUUGGGAAAUACAUUUGGAAGCUUGUCGAACCAGUCUUGUGAUAUGUUGCAUUAAAUUGAAAAAUAUAUUUGGAAGCUUAUAGAACCAGUCUUGUGAUAUGUUGUUGUCUGUGCUGGAAAUGAGAAAUCAGCUUAAGCUCAACCAAAGCAACCUAUACUAACUUGUUAAAAGGAGAUGAGACAUUGAAGUACUAUUAGUAUAUUAGAGAAGUCUAGGUACUUUAGGUUUUAUUUAUUUAUCUUUGGAAAUCUUUGACUUGUACAUAGAUAUUUGGAUUUUGUAAGAUGUUAAAUCCUUUAUGUAUGAAUAUUGUUGUAUGUUGAUAUUAUUUGAUUAAUGAUUAUUUCUUAAAUAUUAUAUAUAAAUUCUUUAUUUCACAAUGUUUACUUUGAUUAAUGGUUUUACAUGUAUGUGGGGUUCUUUGUAUCAGAUUUGACAUUGCAAUCUGCUUACCUAGUUACAUAAAGAUAAAUUCGUAUGUAAUCUGUCUAACUAGUUACAUACGACUUUUUCUAUAUGUAAAUUACAUACGGAUUUUACAUACGGAUUUAUCUGUAUGUAAUUUACAUACGUAUUUAUCUGUAUGUAAUUUACAUACUGAUUUAUCUGUAUGUAGUUUACAUACAGAUUUUUUUGUAAUUUACAUACAAAAUAAUCUAUAAGUAACUUAGCUACGACCAUUUUACAUAUGGAUUUUAGAAUGUAAGUAAUCUAUAUGUAACACUACUUUACAUAUGAAUUUUUUAGCUUACAUACGGAUUUUAGCUAUAUCUGUAAAGUUCUGCAGCACCCUCUUCUCUCAAUAUUUUUAGGAAUGCAUCUAGUAGACCAUCAAGCACUUGACAAAGAACUCUAGUAUCUUACUCAAAGAGUGAACAAAUAAUGUGAAAAAUGUUACGAGAUCUUAAUCUUGAUCCAAGAGGCCAAAGAAAAUAAAAAACUCUAAACAAAACUUCAAGGAAUUUUUCAAAAGGAGACAAAAUAAGAAAAUUAGAAAAUUCAUAGGACCACAAAAAAAGAGUUAAAUGAAACAAUGCGAAGACUCUAAAAAAGACAAAAUAUAAUUUAAUAGUGCAAGAUGUUAAUUUGUGUUGAACUCUACAAUUUUUUUCUUUUACUCUUGGAUUCGUACUUUCUCUUUUUUUUAAUAUAUAUUUGUUUUUUUUACUUGGAUCCAAUAUAUAUAUAUAUAUAUAUAUAUAUAUAUAUAUAUAUAUAUAUAUAUAUAUAUAUAUAUAANAACAACAACAAACAAGUUCAAAAAAAAAAUAACAAACAAGUUAUCAACAAAUAAGUUCUUCAAUGAAAAUGAAAACGAAAACGAAAAGUAACCUUUAAAAGGUAGGUUCAUCAGAAUAAAGUGUUGCCACCAGUGAGAGAGAAAACAUAAUGCGCCUAUGAAGGACAAGAACAUGAAAAUAAUCGGUGAAAAUAAACGAAAAUCAUACUAAAGUAGUUCAUUAACAUGCAUUUGUAUCAAAUGAAAGAAAGAUUACAUGUGAUGGUCGUCAAAGUUCGUUCCAAAAAAGUUUGAGUAAAGAAAAGGGUUUCGCGCACUAAGACAAAGUGAAUGAAUUUUCAAUCUUCCGCUAAAUUUUUUUUUAAUUCACUAACCUUUUAACGUCUAACGCUGGGGCAUUCGACGUUUUAUAUCAUUUUACGUCGAAUUACAAUUUUAAACGACGUUUAAUAAUUGCAUUUAUUUACAAGAAUGUCACCGGUCAUAUUUAGUGUUGGUUAUUGAGUGAUUCGACACUAUGUGUGCCGUUAUACGCAAUUUUUCCACUAGUAUUCAAAUUCCAUUUUAUUAAUACUCAUUUUCUACAUCUUCUACAUGUUUACUCCAAUCAUUCAUUAUUUCACUUUUAUAAGAAAACCUAUUAUUUAAAACAUAAUAUGCACACCUUUCAGUUAUAAAUAAAUUAGUUUCAUUGUAUCUAUUUUUGUUGUGAAAAGAAUGUUGUUGUCGAAAGAAUCUUGUUGUUGUUGGUAAUUUGAAUCUAUUUAGAAUAGGAUAGAACAUAUUUUUAAGUUUGUUACAAAAAGAUAUCAAUGUAAAAUAUUAAAUUAAGUCUCUUAAAAAGUAAGAGAUGUAAAAAUAAAUGUAAUAACUAACUUUUAUUUAUCAAAUUAUCACAAUUUUUAAGUUAAGUUUUUUUUAACAAACUUAAAUUCCCAUAUUUAAUAAUUGUUUAUAUGAAUGGUGGAUGUAAAAUUUGUGUAGAUCCUUUAGAUAUUUUAAUUAUACUUAUGAAUAUCACUUGUCACAUGAAUGAUAGACUGGCUUUAAAAUAUUUUAAAACACCUUGGUCUUCAAAACUAAUGAAAUAAAAAAUUCAGUCGUUAUUAAAUUGGAACAGUAAUGGUGGUUGAUCUUAUCACCUGUUCUGUUUAUCUACCUAUCAGUUACUUCAUUUAUGAACAUGGGGAAAAGAACAACAUGGGAAAAGAACCUGGCUUGGAUUCUCCUCCAUGUUCACCACCAAUCAAUCUUUAUAUAUAUAUAUCAUGAGUUGCAGAACCUUUUAUCAUUAACUUUUUCUCACCAUGGAUUCUGAAAUACUCCUUAUCUUUUCCUUUCUCCUCUGCAUCAUUGUGGCACUCAAACUAGGGAGAAACCUCAACAAAAAAAGCAAGCCAUCAUCACUAAACAUACCCCCUGCACCAUGGAAGCUUCCUGUUAUAGGAAACCUGCACCAUCUUGUUUCAUCCACACCACACCGAAAACUAAGAGACUUAGCCAAAAUAUACGGACCCAUGAUGCAUCUCCAGCUAGGAGAGAUCUUCAUAAUCGUUGUUUCCUCAGCAGAGUAUGCCAAAGAGAUCAUGAAAACACAUGAUGCAACCUUUGCAUCGAGACCUAAACUUCUGGCAGCAGAUAUAGCCUCUUAUGGAUACACAAACAUUGCUUUUGCACCUUACGGAAGUUACUGGAAAAAGGUACGAAGAAUCUGCAACAUGGAGCUUCUGUCCCCAAAACGUGUCAGUUCAUUCCAACCGAUUAGAGAAGAAGAACUCAGCAAUCUGGUUCAAAUUAUCGGUUCACAUGUUGGAGGGUCCCCCAUCAACCUCACUGAGGCAGUGUCCUUAUCAAUGUAUAACAUCAUUUCAAGAGCUGCUCUGGGGCAGAAGCGCACCAAAGACCACCAUGAGUUCAUGUCGAUAGUCCAACAUGCAGUGCUUGGUGCAGGAGGUUUUGACAUAGGAGAGUUGUUUCCUUCUGCUACAUGGCUUCAACAUCUCACUGGUUUGAGGCCUAUGCUUGAGAAGGUGAAUAAACAAAUCGAUCGGAUACUGGAAGCCAUAAUCAAUGAACACAGAGAAGCAAGAUCCAAAGCCCAACAUGGCCAUGAAUCAAACGAAGAUUUGGUAGAUGUUCUCCUAAACUUCCAUGAUGCUAAUGACAGUAACCAUGAAGUUUGCUUAACCAUUAACAAUAUCAAAGCAGUAAUCACGGU